rnacentral:rRNA from 1 species
UACGUAGGGGCCGAGCGUUGUCCGGAGUUAUUGGGCGUAAAGCGCGCGCAGGCGGCCUCGCGCGCCCGACGUGAAAGCCCCCCGGCUUAACCGGGGAGGGUCGUUGGGGACGGCGGGGCUGGAGUGCGGCAGAGGAGACUGGAAUUCCUGGUGUAGCAGUGAAAUGCGUAGAUAUCAGGAGGAAUACCGAUGGCGAAGGCAGGUCUCUGGGCUGACACUGACGCUCAUGCACGAAAGCGUGGGGAGCAAACAGG